GUUCUUCAAAGAACCGAAGGGUUCUUAGCACUGAAAAUGGCCCCCAAAAGGUUCUUCCAAUAACCCCAUAGGCGGUGGGGUUCAUCGAGGAACCUCCUUAGUUGGUGGGGGUUCUUACAGGAACCUGAGUGCCCAACUGAAACACUUGGGUUUGAAUUUGAAAGGACAGCAGGUGCAGGCACUUUACUGAAACAUGUAAAGAUCUCCUCAAUUGAAGGUAUACAGACAAGGAGGCGUACAAAGCCCCCGUCCCCCGUAGGAGGCCUUUUGCCUUUUGGUAGGCCGUCAAGAACCUGAGCCCUAGGACCAUACGUCAGGACUACCGGGCAUGCUGACACCUUGCUGUCCCCAGUCCGCCCGGCCUUGCUGCUAUUCCAGUUUCAACUGUUUCUGCCUGCGGUUACGAAACCCCUACCUGUCCCAGACCUGCUGUUUUCAACUCUUAAUGAUCGGCUAUGAAAAGCCAACUGAGAUUUAUUCCUGAUUAUUAUUUGACCAUGUUUGUCAUUUAUGAACAUUUUGAAAAUCUUGGCUCUCUCUAAUUUUCUCCUUGUCUCUUUCUCUCGGAGGACCUGAGCCCUAGGACCAUACGUCGGGACUACCGGCCGUGGUGACUCCUUGCUGCCCCCAGUCCGCCUGGCCUUGCUGCUAUUCCAGUUUCAACUCUUCUGCCUGCGGUUAUGGAACCCCUACCUGUCCCAGACCUGCUGUUUUCAACUCUUAAUGAUCGGCUAUGAAAAGCCAACUGAGAUUUAUUCCUGAUUAUUAUUUGACCAUGCUUGUCAUUUAUGAACAUUUUGAAAAUCUUGGCUCUCUCUAAUUUUCUCCUUCUCUCUUUCUUUCUCUCGGAGGACCUGGGCCCUAGGACCAUGCGACGGGACUGCCGCCCGUGGUGACUCCUUGCUGUCCCCAGUCCGCCUGGCCUUGCUGCUAUUCCAGUUUCAGCUGUUCUGCCUGCGGUUAUGGAACCGCCACCUGUCCCAGACCUGUUGUUUUUCAACUCUUAAUGAUCAGCUAUGAAAAGCCAACUGAAAAUGAUUCAUGAUUAUUAUUUGACCAUGCUUGUCACUUAUGAACAUUUUUGAACAUCUUGGCAUAGUUCUGUUAUAAUCUCCACCCGGCACAGCCAGAAGAGGACUGGCCACCCCUCAUAGCCUGGUUCCUCUCUAGGUUUCUUCCUAGGUUUUGGCCUUUCUAGGGAGUUUUUCCUAGCCACCGUGCUUCUACACCUGCAUUCUAGCUGUUUGGGGUUUUAGGCUGGGUUUCUGUACAGCACUUCGAGAUAUUAUCUGAUGUACGAAGGGCUAUAUAAAAUAAAAUUGAUUGAUUG